AGCCGAGCGAAGAUGCACCCUAGAUGUGAGUGACGAGGUUUCACCAGCUAGGGGCCUGGAAUGAAUACAUCGGAGAGAGGUACCACAUGGGCCACGUGAGAGCUGACUGGGAAUCUUCGCACCAAAGUCCACUGUGGUUGGCCUCCCUUUAUGUCUUCAGACAGCCAUGCUCGUCUGGAUAAGACUUCUUUGUGCUCAGCGAGCAGUUCAGGGUCUGCCUCUUCUUCACUUCCCACUGCUCCUCUGACUACUAUUAUUGCUAUUUUAUAGGUCCUUUAUUUUUAUGUAAAAAAGCUUUCUGUGAGUA